rnacentral:rRNA from 1 species
UGAAGGGCGUGCUAAUCUGCGAUAAGCGCCGGUAAGGUGAUAUGAACCGUUAUAACCGGCGAUACCCGAAUGGGGAAACCCAGUGUGACUCGUCACACUAUCAUUAACUGAAUCCAUAGGUUAAUGAGGCGAACCGGGGGAACUGAAACAUCUAAGUACCCCGAGGAAAAGAAAUCAACCGAGAUUCCCCCAGUAGCGGCGAGCGAACGGGGAGGAGCCCAGAGCCUGAAUCAGCAUGUGUGUUAGUGGAAGCGUCUGGAAAGGCGCGCGAUACAGGGUGACAGCCCCGUACACAAAAGCGCAUGUGCUGUGAGCUCGAUGAGUAGGGCGGGACACGUGGUAUCCUGUCUGAAUAUGGGGGGACCAUCCUCCAAGGCUAAAUACUCCUGACUGACCGAUAGUGAACCAGUACCGUGAGGGAAAGGCGAAAAGAACCCCGGCGAGGGGAGUGAAAAAGAACCUGAAACCGUGUACGUACAAGCAGUGGGAGCACCCUUUGGGUGUGACUGCGUACCUUUUGUAUAAUGGGUCAGCGACUUAUAUUCUGUAGCAAGGUUAACCGAAUAGGGGAGCCGGAGGGAAACCGAGUCUUAACCGGGCGUUAAGUUGCAGGGUAUAGACCCGAAACCCGGUGAUCUAGCCAUGGGCAGGUUGAAGGUUGGGUAACACUAACUGGAGGACCGAACCGACUAAUGUUGAAAAAUUAGCGGAUGACCUGUGGCUGGGGGUGAAAGGCCAAUCAAACCGGGAGAUAGCUGGUUCUCCCCGAAAGCUAUUUAGGUAGCGCCUCGUGAAUUCAUCUCCGGGGGUAGAGCACUGUUUCGGCUAGGGGGCCAUCCCGGCUUACCAACCCGAUGCAAACUGCGAAUACCGGAGAAUGUUAUCACGGGAGACACACGGCGGGUGCUAACGUCCGUCGUGAAGAGGGAAACAACCCAGACCGCCAGCUAAGGUCCCAAAGUCAUGGUUAAGUGGGAAACGAUGUGGGAAGGCCCAGACAGCCAGGAUGUUGGCUUAGAAGCAGCCAUCAUUUAAAGAAAGCGUAAUAGCUCACUGGUCGAGUCGGCCUGCGCGGAAGAUGUAACGGGGCUAAACCAUGCACCGAAGCUGCGGCAGCGACACUGUGUGUUGUUGGGUAGGGGAGCGUUCUGUAAGCCUGUGAAGGUGUGUCGUGAGGCAUGCUGGAGGUAUCAGAAGUGCGAAUGCUGACAUAAGUAACGAUAAAGCGGGUGAAAAGCCCGCUCGCCGGAAGACCAAGGGUUCCUGUCCAACGUUAAUCGGGGCAGGGUGAGUCGACCCCUAAGGCGAGGCCGAAAGGCGUAGUCGAUGGGAAACGGGUUAAUAUUCCCGUACUUGGUGUUACUGCGAAGGGGGGACGGAGAAGGCUAUGUUGGCCGGGCGACGGUUGUCCCGGUUUAAGCGUGUAGGUGUGUGUUCCAGGUAAAUCCGGUUCACUUUAACACUGAGGCGUGACGACGAGGCACUACGGUGCUGAAGCAACAAAUGCCCUGCUUCCAGGAAAAGCCUCUAAGCAUCAGGUAACAUCAAAUCGUACCCCAAACCGACACAGGUGGUCAGGUAGAGAAUACCAAGGCGCUUGAGAGAACUCGGGUGAAGGAACUAGGCAAAAUGGUGCCGUAACUUCGGGAGAAGGCACGCUGACACGUAGGUGAAGUGAUUUACUCAUGGAGCUGAAGUCAGUCGAAGAUACCAGCUGGCUGCAACUGUUUAUUAAAAACACAGCACUGUGCAAACACGAAAGUGGACGUAUACGGUGUGACGCCUGCCCGGUGCCGGAAGGUUAAUUGAUGGGGUCAGCGCAAGCGAAGCUCCUGAUCGAAGCCCCGGUAAACGGCGGCCGUAACUAUAACGGUCCUAAGGUAGCGAAAUUCCUUGUCGGGUAAGUUCCGACCUGCACGAAUGGCGUAAUGAUGGCCAGGCUGUCUCCACCCGAGACUCAGUGAAAUUGAACUCGCUGUGAAGAUGCAGUGUACCCGCGGCAAGACGGAAAGACCCCGUGAACCUUUACUAUAGCUUGACACUGAACAUUGAGCCUUGAUGUGUAGGAUAGGUGGGAGGCUUUGAAGUGUGGACGCCAGUCUGCAUGGAGCCGACCUUGAAAUACCACCCUUUAAUGUUUGAUGUUCUAACGUGGACCCGUUACCCGGGUUGCGGACAGUGUCUGGUGGGUAGUUUGACUGGGGCGGUCUCCUCC